AAUACAAGAAAAAACUGCUGAGAGGUACUCCUCAUCGAGAAAUAUUACCAUCAAUAUAUUAAAUCAGAAUGAUAACAGUCCUGUGAUACAAACAGAUGACUUGAUUCAUUCUGUCUUUCCAGGAGAUUACACUGAGUUGUGUACAUUUAUUCAAUUACAAGCCACAGAUUUUGACUUCAGUCCAGUCCUAUUCACCUUGAACAAAGUUCUACCAACUAAUCCCGCCAUAACUUUUUCUGUCACUCAAAGUGGGAGAGUGAGUUUUCAUGGUUCAAUCAAAGAGGGUGAUGUGUUCACUGUUCAUGUAAAUGCUUCAGAUCUCGGAGUUCCUAGCAAAAGUACUGAAGCUGUUGUUUUUGUCUUGGCAAGUUCUACCAAAACUCAUUUGAAGUGCCAUGCAG
rnacentral:sRNA from 1 species